rnacentral:miRNA from 1 species
UGAGGUAGAAGGAUUGCUUGAACCCAGGAAGUGGAGGCUGCAGUGAGUUGUGAUCAUGCCACUGCACUCCAGCCUGAGUGACAGAAUGAGACUC